rnacentral:rRNA from 1 species
GCAUAUCAAUAAGCGGAGGAAAAGAAACCAACAGGGAUUGCCCUAGUAACGGCGAGUGAAGCGGCAACAGCUCAAAUUUGAAAGCUAGCCUUCGGGUUCGCAUUGUAAUUUGUAGAGGAUGAUUUGGGGAAGCCGCCUGUCUAAGUUCCUUGGAACAGGACGUCAUAGAGGGUGAGAAUCCCGUAUGUGACAGGAAAUGGCACCCUAUGUAAAUCUCCUUCGACGAGUCGAGUUGUUUGGGAAUGCAGCUCUAAAUGGGAGGUAAAUUUCUUCUAAAGCUAAAUAUUGGCGAGAGACCGAUAGCGCACAAGUAGAGUGAUCGAAAGAUGAAAAGCACUUUGGAAAGAGAGUUAAAAAGCACGUGAAAUUGUUGAAAGGGAAGCGCUUGCAAUCAGACUUGUUUAAACUGUUCGGCCGGUCUUCUGACCGGUUUACUCAGUUUGGACAGGCCAGCAUCAGUUUCGGCGGCCGGAUAAAGGCUCUGGGAAUGUGGCCUCCACUUCGGUGGAGGUGUUAUAGCCCAGGGUGUAAUACGGCCAGCCGGGACUGAGGUCCGCGCUUCGGCUAGGAUGCUGGCGUAAUGGUUGUAGCCGACCCGUCUUGAAACACGGACC